UACGUAGGUGGCAAGCGUUGUCCGGAAUUACUGGGCGUAAAGGGCGCGUAGGCGGCCUUGUAAGUCCCGUGUGAAAGCCCCCGGCUCAACUGGGGAAUUGCACGGGAAACUGCGGGGCUUGAGUUCGGGAGAGGGAAGCGGAAUUCCGGGUGUAGCGGUGAAAUGCGUAGAUAUCCGGAGGAACACCAGUGGCGAAGGCGGCUUCCUGGACCGACACUGACGCUGAGGCGCGAAAGCUAGGGGAGCAAACGGG
rnacentral:rRNA from 1 species